rnacentral:rRNA from 1 species
UACGGAGGGGGCUAGCGUUGUUCGGAAUUACUGGGCGUAAAGCGCACGUAGGCGGAUUUGUAAGUCAGGGGUGAAAUCCCGGGGCUCAACCUCGGAACUGCCUUUGAUACUGCAAGUCUCGAGUCCGAUAGAGGUGAGUGGAAUUCCUAGUGUAGAGGUGAAAUUCGUAGAUAUUAGGAAGAACACCAGUGGCGAAGGCGGCUCACUGGAUCGGUACUGACGCUGAGGUGCGAAAGCGUGGGGAGCAAACAGG